UACAGAGGUCUCAAGCGUUGUUCGGAUUCAUUGGGCGUAAAGGGCGCGUAGGCGGCCAGCACAAGUCAGUUGUGAAAUCUCCGAGCUUAACUCGGAAAGGUCAACUGAUACUGUGCGGCUAGAGUGCGGAAGGGGCAACUGGAAUUCUUGGUGUAGCGGUGAAAUGCGUAGAUAUCGAGAGGAACACCUGCGGCGAAGGCGGGUUGCUGGGCCGACACAGACGCUGAGGCGCGAAAGCCAGGGGAGCGAACGGG
rnacentral:rRNA from 1 species